ACCCGCUGAACUUAAGCAUAUCAAUAAGCGGAGGAAAAGAAACCAACAGGGAUUGUCUUAGUAACGGCGAGUGAAGCGACAAAAGCUCAAAUUUGAAAUCUGGCACCUUCGGUGUCCGAGUUGUAAUUUGAAGAAGGUAACUUUGGAGUUGGCUCUUGUCUAUGUUCCUUGGAACAGGACGUCACAGAGGGUGAGAAUCCCGUGCGAUGAGAUGUCCAACUCUAUGUAAAGUGCUUUCGAAGAGUCGAGUUGUUUGGGAAUGCAGCUCUAAGUGGGUGGUAAAUUCCAUCUAAAGCUAAAUAUUGGCGAGAGACCGAUAGCGAACAAGUACAGUGAUGGAAAGAUGAAAAGAACUUUGAAAAGAGAGUGAAAAAGUACGUGAAAUUGUUGAAAGGGAAGGGUUUGAGAUCAGACUUGGUAUUUUGUAUGUCUUGCUUUCGGGUGGGGCCUCUGCAGUUUACUGGGCCAGCAUCGGUUUGGACGGUAGGAUAAUGACAUUGGAAUGUGGCACUACUUCGGUGGUGUGUUAUAGACUUUGUUGAUACUGCCUGUCUAGACCGAGGACUGCGUCUUUGACUAGGAUGCUGGCAUAAUGAUCCUAAACCG
rnacentral:rRNA from 1 species